rnacentral:rRNA from 1 species
CGAGGGGCAGCAUGGUCUUAGCUUGCUAAGGCUGAUGGCGACCGGCGCACGGGUGAGUAACACGUAUCCAACCUGCCGUCUACUCUUGGCCAGCCUUCUGAAAGGAAGAUUAAUCCAGGAUGGGAUCAUGAGUUCACAUGUCCGCAUGAUUAAAGGUAUUUUCCGGUAGACGAUGGGGAUGCGUUCCAUUAGAUAGUAGGCGGGGUAACGGCCCACCUAGUCAACGAUGGAUAGGGGUUCUGAGAGGAAGGUCCCCCACAUUGGAACUGAGACACGGUCCAAGCUCCUACGGGAGGCAGCAGUGAGGAAUAUUGGUCAAUGGGCGAUGGCCUGAACCAGCCAAGUAGCGUGAAGGAUGACUGCCCUAUGGGUUGUAAACUUCUUUUAUAAAGGAAUAAAGUCGGGUAUGCAUACCCGUUUGCAUGUACUUUAUGAAUAAGGAUCGGCUAACUCCGUGCCAGCAGCCGCGGUAAUACGGAGGAUCCGAGCGUUAUCCGGAUUUAUUGGGUUUAAAGGGAGCGUAGAUGGAUGUUUAAGUCAGUUGUGAAAGUUUGCGGCUCAACCGUAAAAUUGCAGUUGAUACUGGAUGUCUUGAGUGCAGCUGAGGCAGGCGGAAUUCGUGGUGUAGCGGUGAAAUGCUUAGAUAUCACGAAGAACUCCGAUUGCGAAGGCAGCCUGCUAAGCUGCA